GUCAAGCAUCUUCUGUCUAUUAAUAGAGAGGAUGGGUGUGGGCCCUCACCACUUCUGGUUGGUCACUAGUUUCUGGUAGUGCCCUCCCCAUUGGUUAUUACAGUAUAUGAAAUGUAUUUUAGUAUAUUUUUCUUUCCCUUUGUCUUGCCCAUCACUAGAUGAGCAUGGUGCAGGCUGAGUAGCUAUGCAGGGCUGUGCAGAGGAGGAGAGGCAGAAGGCAACUGGCUGCCCUACCGCUGGUAGGGACUCAAGUUAUUAGAGCCAGUGUGUGGGAGGAGGAAAUCAGGCUUAAGUGCUGGCUCUUCUGAGGCUGAUGCCAGAAGGCUAACAGAGCAGGGUGGUCAAAGGUGAAAGGAUCUACAGGAAAAAAGAACACUCUCAUUGGACUUAAUGGGAGUCUUGCUAUCCUGUGAAUGGCAAUUGAUCCAGAAGGGAUUUAGUGCAGAGAUGAGAGAAUCAAGGAAAUUAAAGAUUUUGAGGCUGUCCUCACGACUGACCUGAAAAACUGACAGCAAGAAAACUUCAAUUUUUGUUAUAAACUAUUAAAAUAUAUCCCCAUAUUAAAUGUAGGCACUUUGGACCUCUUUCUGCUACCGUUUCCAGAGAGGUGGACUUUUGCUAAGAUCAUUCAAUAUGUUCUGGGGACCUGCAGUGGGGAUGGACUUAGUUAAUG